UACGUAGGCAGCAAGCGUUGUUCGGAGUUACUGGGCGUAAAGGGUGCGUAGGCGGUUCCCUAAGUUUGGUGUGAAAUCUCCCGGCUUAACUGGGAGGGUGCGCCGAAAACUGGGGAGCUAGAGUGUGGGAGAGGUGAGUGGAAUUCCUGGUGUAGCGGUGAAAUGCGUAGAUAUCAGGAGGAACACCGGUGGUGUAGACGGCUCACUGGACCAUUACUGACGCUGAGGCACGAAAGCGUGGGUAGCAAACAGG
rnacentral:rRNA from 1 species